GUACUGAGGAUCGAACUCAGGACCUUGCGCUCUCAAGGGUUGACACUUUGCAAUUCCAACGAAGGCUGAAGGGUCUCUUCAGAUUCUGCUAAGCUUUCGAAUUUGCCAAGCCAAAAAAGGAAAAAGAAAAGAAAAAGUGUAGGUGGAGCUGUUUGCAGCCGUUCCUGGCCCCUUUCCAGGUGGUAUGGCUGGUGACUGUCCCGGCUGACACCAAGCAGUGAGGACGCGGAAUCUGCAUGGGGAC